UGCCCAGCAACACCUAUCCCUACCUCCUCUCGGUACUUGCCGGGAUACGAGCAACCUUAGGGAAGAUCGUGUAACCAAUCCCAGUGGGAACUUUGGUCGUAUGCUGACAGAGAAGG
rnacentral:ribozyme from 1 species